GCAACCCCUCUGUGUGCGAAGAAAGGUCCAGCCCCUUAGGCUUCCCCCAGUACUUCAAACGGGGCAAACCAAGUGCUCUGUUUUCUUCCAUUUUAUGAGCAUUGCAGCUGUGGUCCUAAAGGAGAAAACACAAUGGAACAUGAACAACAGUUCUUUCAUCUCUAAGAAUCCCAAUGCAUUUUAUGAGCUUAGGUCCUGCACUAGUAACACAUCAAUGCUGAGGAGGACAGUUAACAUAUUUCAGCUUUAGAUAUGUCCUGAAGUCAAACUUGUUUAACUGGAUCUUACUACAAAGAAGCUGAAGACACAGAAGCAUGAUGUUUCCUCCACUGGCACAUUUAAGAAAUCAGCAGAGGCAUGCCAAGAAAAUGUUCUGCUUUCAAAACAAGGCUCCAAGACUGAACUCCAGGGAAAAAAAAAAAUGUGUUUUGUCACGGUUUCCACAAUUAAACUGCUGCUGUUGAUUGGAAAUCUAUAUUACCAUUUCCUCAAACUGACUGCACUUUGUUCUGUCCUUUACCUCACCAGUGGUACUAUCUGUGACUGGCUGGCAGGUGACACAAACUGAUCACAUUCGAAAACAAAUUAAAGGUCAGAGAUCUCUGAUUGCACAAACAGCAAAAGGGAAAUUUUAUUUUAAUACAUGUGCCAUUUUCCCAUGAAGUUAAAACAUGAUCUUCAAGAUGAUGCUGUGCUUCACUCAUCGCUCUCAUUGCACAAGCCUACCGACUGCAGAGAUCCUUCUGCUCUGUUCAACAACCACAAACUGAUUAACAAGACUGAACUGAGAAAGUUCACCUUGAAAAUCUUCCUCGCAUCCUUCAUUUAUUACCAACAUCCCCACAUCUUCUUCAGGUUUUAAAUCUCAUCCUUACCACAGUCCUGAGCAAUAGAAACCAAGGCACAUUAAGACAAUAAAUCAUUACAGACUCCUCAAGCGUUCUACUGUUUGUCUGGCAAACAAUCCACUGUGCUUUGAGAAGCCUCCCAGCUUGCCUGGAGGCUUUCUUUGCUGGAAAAACCUAUGUAUUAUCAUCACCAGCAAAACAAUGGAGUUGGCCGCAGGCACAGUGGUAACACAGUGCACAAGCAGAGGGAAUAGGCCCAUGCAGAGCUCUCAGAGCAGUGAUCGUGAGGAGUGUAAUACAAUGAGGCCUGCAGAGUGCUAAUGCACAUUGGGGUUGCUGUGCCAGUGAUCCACUCAACAGGCUGCAUCUCCUGGCAAAGUGACAGGAUAGUAUUAGCGCUGGUCAGAAAGCCAAGCUACUUGCUCAGUUUCCUCAUCUCAGAAGAAGAGGAGUAAUACAGCAGGGAUAGGAAGAGCUUCAAAGCAUGCAAAGACAUGAGAAUUGUUUCUGCACUAAAAGAAAACAGAGCUGCUCCUUCCUGAAAGGCUUUUUCUGAGCACAGUGAAGAAGGUCCCGAAGUUCACCUGCCCAUAGAUUUCCUUGAAUGAGAAAUAACAUGUAGAAAGUGGGCGUCUUCUUCCCAGAAUACACUCCAGAGUGUUUGAGUAUGAACCUCAUCCUCCCCCACAUUUGUUUGUUUUAUCCAUCUGUUAUUACCCCGUAUUUGAUUAUGAAUUGAAAGCAUUCUCCCAGAGCUGCACUCUGAGCUUUUUAAACUGAAGUGUUUGAAUAAGGCUUGUCACUACAGG